GUUAUCUCAUUUGAUUCUUACAACAACCCUGCAAGUCUUCCUUUUGCUCCUUUUGGUAGGUAACGCGAAGCCUGGCUGCCAAGCAAUCCUGCUACAAUCCUUCUCUGGAAAAUGAUAUCUUCCAUGACUAGGUGACCAAACAGCAGUCUUGAGAUGGACACAUUGCAUCCUCGGAUGCAAUCUCAUGAGUUUGAGAACAUCCCAGUGAGACUGAGUGGAAGCAGGAGCUUACACAUCAGACACGAUGACCAGUAAAAGAAUGAGCCCUAUCACUGGCCUACCUCAACAGAAGACGUUGACCUGGAGGGAUAUAUUUGGAUACUGCAGAGUAAAGGUGAAAUGUGAAAUCACAAUUCAGCAGCAGUCUUUCAAGCUGCUUCAUGUCCUAUUUCUUGAGUCUUGACCUCCCAGGAGAGUACUUAUAUGUAAUAAGAGUUAUACAUAAUAACAGUUUUAAGUUACUGCUGUUCGUGUUUUUCUAUCAGUGCAUAUUUCUGAGUUUUGUGCAUGUUGAACAUCUGUUUUGUGCAAAUAAAUAU